GGAUUAGAUACCCUGGUAGUCCACGCCGUAAACGAUGUCAACUAGCUGUCUGUGUUCUUGAAACGUGGGUAGCGUAGCUAACGCGCUAAGUUGACCGCCUGGGGAGUACGGCCGCAAGGUUAAAACUCAAAUGAAUUGACGGGGGCCCGCACAAGCGGUGGAGCAUGUGGUUUAAUUCGAUGCAACGCGAAGAACCUUACCAUCCCUUGACAUCCAGAGAAUUUUCUAGAGAUAGAUUAGUGCCUUCGGGAACUCUGAGACAGGUGCUGCAUGGCUGUCGUCAGCUCGUGCCG
rnacentral:rRNA from 1 species